rnacentral:rRNA from 1 species
AUUGAACGCUGGCGGCAUGCCUUACACAUGCAAGUCGAACGGUAACAGGUCUUCGGAUGCUGACGAGUGGCGAACGGGUGAGUAAUACAUCGGAACGUGCCUAGUAGUGGGGGAUAACUGCUCGAAAGAGUGGCUAAUACCGCAUGAGAUCUACGGAUGAAAGCAGGGGAUCGCAAGACCUUGUGCUACUAGAGCGGCCGAUGGCAGAUUAGGUAGUUGGUGGGAUAAAAGCUUACCAAGCCGACGAUCUGUAGCUGGUCUGAGAGGACGAUCAGCCACACUGGGACUGAGACACGGCCCAGACUCCUACGGGAGGCAGCAGUGGGGAAUUUUGGACAAUGGGCGCAAGCCUGAUCCAGCAAUGCCGCGUGUAGGAUGAAGGCCUUCGGGUUGUAAACUGCUUUUGUACGGAACGAAAAGCCCUGGGUUAAUACCCUGGGGUCAUGACGGUACCGUAAGAAUAAGCACCGGCUAACUACGUGCCAGCAGCCGCGGUAAAAC